CAUUUUUGCUACAGCUGUGCAGCAGCAGCACACAUCAACCGAAUACACGACCUGAACAGCAGCGUGGCUGCAAAUAAUAUUUCUACAAUAUGCAAAUUAAUCGGUAUUGAUCGAAAGUAGCCGUGGAUGAUACAACAUACUGUAAUAAAUUAAAUUACUGAUGAGUGUAUCUGUUGUUUUCAGUGCCGUGAUGUCCUUGAGGAGCAGAUUCAAUCCACGAGCAUCACAGCCAAUUGUUAUGAUGUGGGGGUAGGACUCCUCCACUUUAGACCAAGCAGCCUUCACGUUUGCUGCAUUGUCUGUCACCAGUGCAAAUACCUUCUGUCGUCCAAGGAAACUGACAACCCAAGAUCAGCCAGUUGAGGACACCUGAGCCCCCCUUUGUACUGUGACUGUCUUGUACCACAAUGCUUGGCCUUCAGGGAAGCACCUCAUCCCCUAAAAUGUAUCGUUGUGUGGCUUGUUCAGCCACCUUUACUGGAUUGGCAUCCUUGUUGGUGCACCAAGCUUCUCAUGCAGUUCAAUAUGACAAGCAACCACCACAAUCUGAGAAGCAGCCUCUCUGCACUCACUGUGGUGAAGUGUUUUUAAACAAGGAGCUCCAAGACCAGCACUGCUGCAAAGCACUACCUGAGACCCCGGCUCCCUCUCUUUUUAUCUGUGAUUGUGGGGAUGAGUUUCAGAACUUUAAUGAAAUGCUGGAGCAUAAAAGAUCUCAUGUCUCAACCCCCCAGCAGCAGACCCAGACGACUGAUGCCAGAUAUUCGGACCAAGAAGAAUCCAGUCUGGUUGAACCUGUCCAACCAGUCUCCCUUCAGCCAACUCUUAGCCAAACCAUUUUGGGCCUUGGUCCCCCCUCUCAUCCCUCACCCCUAUCUCCUGUCAUUCCUAGUUCAAUUCUCCCACAGCUUAAUAGCACAUCCACUGUUCCUGAAGUCUAUACAAAUAAGGGGUUUAUUGCCCUAACCAGACCUCCAGAGCUGAACAACCUCCCUCCAGGUGCAAGUGAGCAGGAAUUACAGCCUGAUGAGCUUGACCAACCUGAGAACAGCUCUACUGCACA